rnacentral:rRNA from 1 species
GUGGGGAAUAUUGGACAAUGGGCGAAAGCCUGAUCCAGCCAUGCCGCGUGUGUGAAGAAGGUCUUCGGAUUGUAAAGCACUUUAAGUUGGGAGGAAGGGCAGUAAGUUAAUACCUUGCUGUUUUGACGUUACCGACAGAAUAAGCACCGGCUAACUUCGUGCCAGCAGCCGCGGUAAUACAGAGGGUGCAAGCGUUAAUCGGAAUUACUGGGCGUAAAGCGCGCGUAGGUGGUUUUGUAAGUUGGAGGUGAAAUCCCCGGGCUCAACCUGGGAACUGCCUCCAAAACUGCAUGACUAGAGUACGGUAGAGGGUAGUGGAAUUUCCUGUGUAGCGGUGAAAUGCGUAGAUAUAGGAAGGAACACCAGUGGCGAAGGCGACUACCUGGACUGAUACUGACACUGAGGUGCGAAAGCGUGGGGAGCAAACAGGAUUAGAUACCCUAGUAGUCC